AUUAUUUUGGUUUUUCUUCUUCUAAACGUAACUAAAAAUAUAAUUAAAAAGAAAUUUCUCUUUCUAAAAAGGCAACGGCGAUAGCGAUUCCUCUAAGGGUGUAACUUUUUCCGGUUUCCAUCUUUGCGUGGAUCUUUAAUCUGGUUUUGAUUCAGAUUGAUGAUUGGGCAGAAGGAAGGAAUUUCUCAAGAAAGGGAAGAUUUUGGUGGAGGAGAGAUCAGAUUUCGGAUUGUCAAUUAAGCAAAUCUUUAAAGAGCGACGAUUUUUAUGGAUCGUCACAGAUCUUGGGUGAUUGGGGUGGGAUCCAAUCAUUCCUUUUCGGUUUCCUUUUGAUUUUUGGAAGAUUUGUUUUACUCACGGUUAACAUCGGGUAUCUCUACAGAUGUCUAAUUUGGGAUUUUAUCCAAUUUGAUAGGGAGAAACAUAUUGGGUUUUUGGGUAUAUACGGAUUGCUGCGAUGGUCAUUGUGGGAUUCUCCAAAUCUUGGUUAAAUGAGGCAAUCAGUAAGAGGAUUUGCAUCGGUUUGGUCUGGGGAUGGGUAUAUAUUAUGCAUCGGAGCGGAAGAUGUCUCAAGGGAUAUUACUGGCUUCAACAAUAUCCGGGAAGGUGUCUGCUGUUGUGGUUCCUAAGAGGAAGGUGAAGAUUCCCUUCUUUGAUAACACGGCUUUGAUAGCGGGUUACUCAAAAACAGUGGUGGGUCGUUGUAUGAAUCCUAGGAUGUAGGACAUGAAGGUGUUGUUACUCUUGCUUCCUAGGAUCUGGCACCUUGAAGGUAAGAUGGUUGGAGCGGAUUUGGGGCUGGGGAAGUUCCAGUUUGGUUUUGAUGAGGAGGCUGACAUAGUGGAGGUCCUGAAGAUGGCUCCAUUUCACUUUGAUCACUAGGUGGUCUCCAUGGUGCAUUGGCUUCCGACAGUGGAUCCUUCAUACCCGUUCUCUUUGACUUUCUGGGUGCAAGUGAUGGGCGUCCCUUUUCAGUUUUGGGCUGAGCCAAAUUUUUGGGGGAUUGGUGUGGAGCUUGGUCGAGUGGAAGAGGUAGAUAUUGAUGGGGGUCGAGUCUGUGUCAUAAUUGAUGGUUUCAAGCCCCUAUGCUUUGAAAAUGAUGUGGAGUUCUUUAAUGGAGAGGAGACCAUUGUAUCUCUUUGAUAUGAGUGUUUAUUUGGAUAUUGCAAACGGUGCCAUAGUUUGUGCCGUGAUUCCACUCGGUGUCCACUGCUGGAACCGACUCCUGUUGACUUUGGUUUAUUGCCACAGAUUAAUGAAGGGGAUAGACAAAACCAAAGCUAUAGAGGAGCUGUUAUGCAGGAUAGGCGGAAAGCUCCUGGGUAGGAUGGAAAACUUAAGGGGUUAGCUUCUGGUGAGGAGGGUGUGAAAGCGGUUAAUGGGAAGCAUGUGACCAAGCAACACAGAUUCCAGAGCUAUGCUCAAUUCAAUGAUUACCGGAGCGUCAGGAGUGCCUCUCAAAAUGUAUUUGUUGUGAGGGAGGAGGAACCUUAUGUGGAAUUGAAGGUCCACAAUGAUAAAAUCUUUACUAAUGUGUACUCUAACCCAUUUGUAGUCCUGCAAGUGAUGGAGGCUGAGUCUAAGGCUGUUUGCAGUUCAAACAAAGGAUUUGGUUGAGGUUCCCAAUGAGGUGUCUGGGACAACUCAAGGUUGUGGGGUUUUGAUUGUCACAGGUAUGACGACCUUUUUUUGUUUUGUAGUUGGUUCUUGGAAGGCAGUUGAUCAAUUUGCAGGAAGAGGAUAGUACUGUUUACCACACUCAGGGGAGGCACCAACUAUGGGGAAAUCAAAUAUCAGGCGUAGUCUCAUGCCUCUCCACGUCGAGAUUGAAGCCCUGAUAUGGGCCAUGAGGUGUAUGAUUGGAGCGGAUAACCAAAAUGUUGUUUUUCUCACCAACUGCUCUGAUGAUUUAUUCGUCUUCUGAAUGGCCCGCAUUUACAUUUUAUUUGGAAGACAUACAAGUUGAGAAGGCGGAGUUCACGUCUUUCUCGAUAGCUUUGAUUCCUCGCACACAGAAUGAUAAAGCAGAUAAUUUGGCACGUCGUGUUCACUCAGAACCACAUUGCAUUAUCUAUGUAAAAAAUGUUCCCUCA